rnacentral:rRNA from 1 species
GACGAACGCUGGCGGCGUGCUUAACACAUGCAAGUCGAACGGUGAAGGGACCGGUUUUUGCUGGUUCUGGAUGAGUGGCGAACGGGUGAGUAACACGUGAGUAACCUGCCCCCUUCUUCUGGAUAACCGCAUGAAAGUGUGGCUAAUACGGGAUAUUCUGCGCCUGCUGCAUGGUGGGUGUGGGAAAGAUAUUGUUUCGGUGGGGGAUGGGCUCGCGGCCUAUCAGCUUGUUGGUGGGGUGAUGGCCUACCAAGGCGGUGACGGGUAGCCGGCCUGAGAGGGUGGACGGUCACACUGGGACUGAGACACGGCCCAGACUCCUACGGGAGGCAGCAGUGGGGAAUAUUGCACAAUGGGCGCAAGCCUGAUGCAGCGACGCCGCGUGAGGGAUGGAGGCCUUCGGGUUGUAAACCUCUUUCGCCAGUGAAGCAGGCCUGUCCCUUUUGUGGGUGGGUUGACGGUAGCUGGAGAAGAAGCGCCGGCUAACUAUGUG